rnacentral:lncRNA from 1 species
AGUGCCUAAGUGUACCUGGCAAACAUUUCACAGCAAAUGUUUCACUUGAAGGGUUCUCCUUGUCCUGUAUCUUUUUGUCUACUUCUUGUUCUUCACAAAAGGCAUUGUUGGCCUUGCCUCCCAAGCUCUGAAGUACACCACGUUCUGGCAUUAGCAAUUCUGCUGCCUUGGGCAGGCAACAGAAGAGAUGCCCUAGAAUCAAUUUAUCAAGGCAAAUGCUGUGGGGGUGGGGGCAGCCUUGGAGAGAGAACUUUAACCUCAGUCCACAGGGCCCUGAGCAGCAGAGAGACCUGGGCACACCAAACUGUGUGUGGGAAACAGAAACUCCAGGAUCCUCUAAGGCCCCUGUUGGAAGGACACCACCAAAGGAAGGAGCAGAGGAGGAAACUGAGACCCAAGGAGAGGAACAGAUUUCCUGAAGGUCACACAAGCAUUGGAGAGACAUAAUUUAUGACAAGCAGCUGAUGAGAGCUACUGCUUCACCUCAGCCAACCCUACAUCAAAACACUUGACUCCACCUAGGGAUCUGCAUGUGUGAAGAGCUGAGCAGUU